rnacentral:rRNA from 1 species
GUCGAGCGGACAGAUGGGAGCUUGCUCCCUGAUGUUAGCGGCGGACGGGUGAGUAACACGUGGGUAACCUGCCUGUAAGACUGGGAUAACUCCGGGAAACCGGGGCUAAUACCGGAUGGUUGUUUGAACCGCAUGGUUCAAACAUAAAAGGUGGCUUCGGCUACCACUUACAGAUGGACCCGCGGCGCAUUAGCUAGUUGGUGAGGUAACGGCUCACCAAGGCAACGAUGCGUAGCCGACCUGAGAGGGUGAUCGGCCACACUGGGACUGAGACACGGCCCAGACUCCUACGGGAGGCAGCAGUAGGGAAUCUUCCGCAAUGGACGAAAGUCUGACGGAGCAACGCCGCGUGAGUGAUGAAGGUUUUCGGAUCGUAAAGCUCUGUUGUUAGGGAAGAACAAGUACCGUUCGAAUAGGGCGGUACCUUGACGGUACCUAACCAGAAAGCCACGGCUAACUACGUGCCAGCAGCCGCGGUAAUACGUAGGUGGCAAGCGUUGUCCGGAAUUAUUGGGCGUAAAGGGCUCGCAGGCGGUUUCUUAAGUCUGAUGUGAAAGCCCCCGGCUCAACCGGGGAGGGUCAUUGGAAACUGGGGAACUUGAGUGCANAAGAGGAGAGUGGAAUUCCACGUGUAGCGGUGAAAUGCGUANAGAUGUGGAGGAACACCAGUGGCGAAGGCGACUCUCUGGUCUGUAACUGA